GAUGAACGCUGGCGGCGUGCCUAAUACAUGCAAGUCGAGCGAAUGGAUUAAGAGCUUGCUCUUAUGAAGUUAGCGGCGGACGGGUGAGUAACACGUGGGUAACCUGCCCAUAAGACUGGGAUAACUCCGGGAAACCGGGGCUAAUACCGGAGAACAUUUUGAACCGCAUGGUUCGAAAUUGAAAGGCGGCUUCGGCUGUCACUCAUGGAUGGACCUGCGUCGCAUUAGCUAGUUGGUGAGGUAACGGCUCACCAAGGCAACGAUGCGUAGCCGACCUGAGAGGGUGAUCGGCCACACUGGGACUGAGACACGGCCCAGACUCCUACGGGAGGCAGCAGUAGGGAAUCUUCCGCAAUGGACGAAAGUCUGACGGAGCAACGCCGCGUGAGUGAUGAAGGCUUUCGGGUCGUAAAACUCUGUUGUUAGGGAAGAACAAGUGCUAGUUGAAUAAGCUGGCACCUUGACGGUACCUAACCAGAAAGCCACGGCUAACUACGUGCCAGCAGCCGCAGUAA
rnacentral:rRNA from 1 species